rnacentral:tRNA from 1 species
GGAAGAACGUGGGAUUCGAAAUCUGAAAGUCUGUGGGUUCAAGCUCCAACCAUUUC